rnacentral:ncRNA from 2 species
CUUUUAAGUAGAGGCGCGCUGCCUAUAACUACUCAUGCGGAGGGUGAUGCCUGUGAAGCAUGAGGAAAGGAGCCAGCGCCGAAGUGAUCAUGCCAUCAUGCAGGGUCGCUGGGAUUGCAUCGAACAGGUGCAGUACUGCCAUAGUCAAUCACUAUGGAGCGCUACUGAAGGG